UACGGAGGUCCCAAGCGUUGUUCGGAUUCACUGGGCGUAAAGGGUGCGUAGGUGGUUGGGUAAGUCUGAUGUGAAAUCUCCGAGCUUAACUCGGAAAUGGCAUUGGAUACUAUUCGGCUAGAGGGUUUGAGGGGGGACUGGAAUACUUGGUGUAGCAGUGAAAUGCGUAGAUAUCAAGUGGAACACCAGUGGCGAAGGCGAGUCCCUGGAAAACUCCUGACACUGAGGCACGAAAGCUAGGGGAGCAAACAGGAUUAGAUACCCC
rnacentral:rRNA from 1 species